CGCAUUGCGAAACGCCCUGGGAUGCGGUGCGAUUCCUCCCCCUGGUGGUAGCCUGAGGAGCAGCCGCCACGAGGCUAGAUUUCGAGCGGAGGAUUAUAGCUUGAAGUCCCGGAAAAAGAAGGGGAGGUCGUGCAUUGUUUGUGUUCCCCCUUGCUUCCUAUGAGAAUAAGACUGACCAUGUCAAGGGUAUAUUCUUUACCAACCUGCAACUGUUGACAACGGUGAUUUUCCAUUGUCCUCCACAGUCUUACUCAUUUUGAUUAGGGAGGAACCUGAAAUACCAGCAGGUCCACAUAAGUCUCUUCAUUCAUUCUCUACUGCCUUAUGCUGGUUAUUAGGGGAAAGUUGGAUGGAAAAGAUACUGUCUCUAGCCUCAACAGAGUUCCCAGACUCGCUGAGAAUUCACACAAAGGAAUAAUUACAACACAGUGAUGUGUGCUGCAGGGGGACAGUGAGUGUGGGAGUCUUGAAAAGGAACACCUGUCCGACAUUGGGGGCUAGGAGGCUAUGUCCUCACGCUUCCUAGAGAAAGUGAUGUCAAAAUCGAGCCCUGAAGGAAAGGACUUAGCCAUGACUACAGGACGGGUGAAGAAUGGUAAAUGCAGGGUUUGCGGACCACAGAGUGUGCUUGGUAAGAAUGGGGAGAGAAUUACCUUGGAUCCCAUCCUCCAAAAUCCUUACGCUUCCUUAAGAAAUUUGCAUCAUUACUGAGCUCAAAAACUUUCAACCGCUUUCUAGGACCUACUCAUGAGGUCCCAGUUUAGCCUGGAAUUCAAAGUCUUCCCCUACCACUCUGCCAGUGUGCUCAUGCCCCUGCCUGUGCCCCAGCCGCAGUGCUGCUCACCAUUCUCAGGAUGAAGCAGGUUCUCACUGUUCUCUCUGUUACCAGAAUUUUAAGGGGAAUAAAGUCCUGGCUUCCUGGGUCGCAACAGAUUAGGGUCAGCCACUCUUCCCAAACUGCCAAUCAAGGAGACUAGCAGUAGUGAAGGUAAGGAAGGGGGCUGUAGUCCGGAUGGCCAUGCCAGGACGAAAAGGAGGUUCGAGACCUGUCCUCAGGGAGCUGACCCAAACUUUGGCAUUUUAUAGAAAAAAGGGAGCAAAGGCAAGGGUUGGGUUGCACAGCAGCAAGAUGAUUAAUCCUGGUCAAGUUUCCAUCUCAAGGAUAGUGUGAUUUGGUUGAUUCGUAUCUCGAGCAAGGCUCUGGGAGUGCCGUACUGCUGGAGCGACAGUUUGAUCCCCAUCAUGCCACGAUGGAUUCUGCUGGGAGUGAUGUAGGACCACCAAAUGAUAUAGGGAAGUAAUAUAAUUCUCAACCUGCUAGGUGUCCAACAUGCCGACUUCAUGUUCCUCAAAUUGAAGAAUAAAUUCUAAGGAACAACAGAGUUGAACAGAAGGAAAUUUAUUCCUGAGAGUUAGGAGGGGCCCCAGAAAGUGGGUUGCCAAUGAGCUUUCUUCUCAAAGGAAGUUUUAUAGAGCAAAAUCUCAAGCUGGGUAUAAUAUGGGACAAAAACUAUGAUCAACCAAUAAGAUUAAAAGCAUAAGUAGCCAUGAAUAUAGCUCAAUGGCAUAGUGCCUGCCUGGCAAGCAUGAGAUCCCGAGUUCGAUUCCCAGUGCAAAAAAAAAAAAAAAAGUGUAUUCA